rnacentral:rRNA from 1 species
GACGAACGCUGGCGGCGUGCUUAACACAUGCAAGUCGAACGGAGUUAAGGAGCUUGCUUCUUAACUUAGUGGCGAACGGGUGAGUAACGCGUGAGGAACCUGCCUCUCAGUGGGGGACAACAGUUGGAAACGACUGCUAAUACCGCAUGAAACUGUAGUACCGCAUGGUACAUCGGUCAAAGAUUUAUUGCUGAGAGAUGGCCUCGCGUCUGAUUAGCUAGUUGGUGGGGUAACGGCCCACCAAGGCGACGAUCAGUAGCCGGACUGAGAGGUUGACCGGCCACAUUGGGACUGAGAUACGGCCCAG